UGGGGAAUCUUCCGCAAUGGACGAAAGUCUGACGGAGCAACGCCGCGUGAGUGAAGAAGGUUUUCGGAUCGUAAAACUCUGUCUUUUGGGGCGAACGUGAGUAUGGUGAACAAUCAUAGUCAGUGACGGUACCAAAGGAGGAAGCCACGGCUAACUACGUGCCAGCAGCCGCGGUAAUACGUAGGUGGCAAGCGUUGUCCGGAAUUAUUGGGCGUAAAGAGCGCGUAGGCGGGAUAGUCAGUCUGUUGUAAAGUGCGGGGCUCAACCCCGUGAUCGUAAUGGAAACAGCUAUUCUUGAGUGCAGGAGAGGAAAGUGGAAUUCCCAGUGUAGCGGUGAAAUGCGUAGAUAUUGGGAGGAACACCAGUGGCGAAGGCGACUUUCUGGACUGUGUCUGACGCUGAGGCGCGAAAGCCAGGGGAGCGAACGGGAUUAGAUACCCCGGUAGUCCUGGCCGUAAACGAUGGGUACUAGGUGUGGGAGGUAUCGACCCCUUCCGUGCCGGAGUUAACGCAAUAAGUACCCCGCCUGGGGAGUACGGUCGC
rnacentral:rRNA from 1 species